rnacentral:misc_RNA from 1 species
GGCCAGAGGAUCUACGAUGAGCAUUGUCUAUGCUAAUACCUCUGAAUUUCAGUAGACUCCAGAAAUCAGUCCAAACAUCAGCAUUCCCAUCUUCAAAAACACCAGAACCUGAGGUAGCUGUUAUCUUUACCCAUCCUUGGGAAGUCGAGUCGAGAAAUGCUGAUUCAAAAUUUGGAAAAUGAAUAUGCAUACACUGUAGAACCACAGCAACGCCUGUUGGCUUGAUUCCAUGCUGCAAAGCAGUGCAAACUUCAUCAGCAAGGCGCUGUGGACUUUGGAGCCGUUUUGCAAAAAUAUCAGCAACCCGAGAAAGCUUGCUUAAUCCUACAACCCUUUUUCCAGAUGGGACAUAACCUACAU